CAGUCGCCGCGGUAAUACGUAGGGUGCGAGCGUUAAUCGGAAUUACCGGGCGUAAAGCGUGCGCAGGCGGUUAUAUAAGACAGAUGUGAAAUCCCCGGGCUCAACCUGGGACCUGCAUUUGUGACUGUAUAGCUAGAAUACGGUAGAGGGGGAUGGAGUUCCGCGUGUAGCAGUGAAAUGCGUAGAUAUGCGGAGGAACACCGAUGGCGAAGGCAAUCCCCUGGACCUGUACUGACGCUCAUGCACGAAAGCGUGGGGAGCAAACAGGAUUAGAUACCCCAGUAGUCCCUGUCUCUUAUAC
rnacentral:rRNA from 1 species